rnacentral:rRNA from 1 species
GGUCCGAGUUGUAAUUUGUAGAGGAUGUUUCGGGUGUGGCUCCGGUCUAAGUUCCUUGGAACAGGACGUCAUAGAGGGUGAGAAUCCCGUAUGUGACUGGAAGCCUUCGUCCAUGUGAAACUCCUUCGACGAGUCGAGUUGUUUGGGAAUGCAGCUCAAAAUGGGUGGUAAAUUUCAUCUAAAGCUAAAUACUGGCCAGAGACCGAUAGCGCACAAGUAGAGUGAUCGAAAGAUGAAAAGCACUUUGGAAAGAGAGUUAAAAAGUACGUGAAAUUGUUGAAAGGGAAGCGCUUGCAACCAGACUUGCUCGCGGUUGCUCAGCCGGUGUUCUCACCGGUGCACUCUUCCGCGAUCAGGCCAGCAUCGGUUUGGGCGGCUGGAUAAAGGCUCUGGGAAUGUGGCUCCUCUCGGGGAGUGUUAUAGCCCAGGGUGCAAUGCAGCCCGCCCGGAUCGAGGACCGCGCUUCGGCUAGGAUGCUGGCGUAAUGGUUGUAAGCGACCCGUCUUGAAACACGGACCAAGGAGUCUAACAUCUAUGCGAGUGUUUGGGUGUCAAACCCAUGCGCGUAAUGAAAGUGAACGGAGGUGGGAACCCUUAAGGGUGCACCAUCGACCGAUCCUGAUGUCUUCGGAUGGAUUUGAGUAAGAGCAUAGCUGUUGGGACCCGAAAGAUGGUGAACUAUGCCUGAAUAGGGUGAAGCCAGAGGAAACUCUGGUGGAGGCUCGCAGCGGUUCUGACGUGCAAAUCGAUCGUCAAAUUUGGGUAUAGGGGCGAAAGACUAAUCGAACCAUUUUACUACUAGGUGGUUAGGAGGCCACUAAAAGGGUGUGCCUAGUCCUGCUCUCCAGGGCAACACUGUCAAAUUGCGGGGACGUCCUAAAGACACUGCUACCAAGCGGGCGUGGAAACACAGCCUGUGGCCGGGGUAAUGACCUAGGGUAUGGUAAAAACGCAGUGUAUGAUCUCUGUCGACAAACAGAGUUGAAAUGGAUAAUCCGCAGCCAAGUCCUAAGUCUUGCUUAGCAGGAUACGGAUGCUGUUCACAGACUAAAUGUCAGUGGGUCUACCUUAGAAAGGAGGUAAGGCUUAAGAUAUAGUCGGGCCGCCCAGAGAUGGGUCUGGUAGGAAAAAGUCC